rnacentral:rRNA from 1 species
GGCGUGCUUAACACAUGCAAGUCGAGCGGUAAGGCCCUUCGGGGUACACGAGCGGCGAACGGGUGAGUAACACGUGGGUGAUCUGCCCUGCACUUCGGGAUAAGCCUGGGAAACUGGGUCUAAUACCGGAUAUGACCUUCGGCUGCAUGGCUGUUGGUGGAAAGGUUUACUGGUGCAGGAUGGGCCCGCGGCCUAUCAGCUUGUUGGUGGGGUAAUGGCCUACCAAGGCGACGACGGGUAGCCGACCUGAGAGGGUGACCGGCCACACUGGGACUGAGACACGGCCCAGACUCCUACGGGAGGCAGCAGUGGGGAAUAUUGCACAAUGGGCGAAAGCCUGAUGCAGCGACGCCGCGUGAGGGAUGACGGCCUUCGGGUUGUAAACCUCUUUCAGCAGGGACGAAGCGAGAGUGACGGUACCUGCAGAAGAAGCACCGGCCAACUACGUGCCAGCAGCCGCGGUAAUACGUAGGGUGCAAGCGUUGUCCGGAAUUACUGGGCGUAAAGAGCUCGUAGGCGGUUUGUCGCGUCGUCUGUGAAAACUCGAGGCUCAACCUCGAGCUUGCAGGCGAUACGGGCAGACUUGAGUACUGCAGGGGAGACUGGAAUUCCUGGUGUAGCGGUGAAAUGCGCAGAUAUCAGGAGGAACA